UACGAACUGUGCGAACGUUAUUCGGAAUCACUGGGCUUACAGGGUGCGUAGGCGGCUUGUCAAGUAGGGUGUGAAAGCCCCCGGCUCAACCGGGGAAUGGCGCCCUAAACUGGCGAGCUAGAGUGAGAUAGGGGUGUGUGGAACUUCCGGUGGAGCGGUGAAAUGUGUUGAUAUCGGAAGGAACAUCAGUGGCGAAGGCGACUUCCUGGACCAUAACUGACACUGAGGCACGAAAGCGUGGGGAGCAAACAGG
rnacentral:rRNA from 1 species